GCCCUGGAUAGCUCAGUUGGUUAGAGUAUGGUGCUGAUAACGCCAAGGUUGCAGGUUCAAUCCCACCAUGGUGCA